UGGGUAACCUGCCUCAAAGAGGGGAAUAGCCUCCCGAAAGGGAGAUUAAUACCGCAUAAUAUGUUUAGGUCGCAUGACUUUAACAUCAAAGGAUUUUCUUUUAGAAAUUUCCACUUUGAGAUGGACCCGCGGCGCAUUAGCUAGUUGGUGAGGUAACGGCUCACCAAGGCAACGAUGCGUAGCCGACCUGAGAGGGUGAUCGGCCACAUUGGAACUGAGACACGGUCCAGACUCCUACGGGAGCAG
rnacentral:rRNA from 1 species